GAUGAACGCUGGCGGCGUGCCUAAUACAUGCAAGUCGAGCGAACAGACGAGGAGCUUGCUCCUCUGACGUUAGCGGCGGACGGGUGAGUAACAGGUGGAUAACCUACCUAUAAGACUGGGAUAACUUCGGGAAACCGGAGCUAAUACCGGAUAAUAUAUUGAACCGCAUGGUUCAAUAGUGAAAGACGGUUUUGCUGUCACUUAUAGAUGGAUCCGCGCCGCAUUAGCUAGUUGGUAAGGUAACGGCUUACCAAGGCAACGAUGCGUAGCCGACCUGAGAGGGUGAUCGGCCACACUGGAACUGAGACACGGUCCAGACUCCUACGGGAGGCAGCAGUAGGGAAUCUUCCGCAAUGGGCGAAAGCUUGACGGAGCAACGCCGCGUGAGUGAUGAAGGUCUUCGGAUCGUAAAACUCUGUUAUUAGGGAAGAACAAAUGUGUAAGUAACUAUGCACGUCUUGACGGUACCUAAUCAGAAAGCCACGGCUAACUACGUG
rnacentral:rRNA from 1 species